GAAUUUGUCUCCUUUUUUCUCUUUUCCCAUUACUACUGGAGAUUGGUGUUUAGGUAAGAAAGAAAUAAGCCAGGAGUCUCCAGAGACUGGGCCAGAUGCAAGUACAAGAAAUUAAGGUAAAAUGGCUGCCAGCGAUGGAAAACUGAACUGAGUCAAACUACUAGAGAGUAAUUAUACCAAAAAGAGACAGAAUUCACAAAGCCUUUAGAACUGGUUACAGUAUCACAGCAAGAAGAAAGAAUCAAUACUUCACUAGGAAAUGGAAAGAAGACAGCUUCUGCGGUAGUGAGCAAGAGAACACACUUUGAUGGAUGCUCCAGUUAUUUGAACACUAGCUUUGGAUUUGGGACACUUGAGUUCAGUUCUCGUCACUGCCACAGACAUCCACUGAACCCUGGGCAAGCCACCAAGGAGUCCAAGCAGCAGGAAACCCAAGUUUCUCCUUCUCAGGGAGUUUUAUCGUCUUCUCUCUGGAGCCAAGAUUGUUACACUGGUACAGAAACUGUGGGAAUACCAAAACAACACCAAACCAAUCAAAAACUGGACUUUCCAGAGGGAGGAUAUGAAGUGUCAAAGGACAAUAUAUUUUCCAAAAAAACUCCACCAUCUCCA